UACAGAGGGUGCGAGCGUUACUCGGAAUUACUGGGCGUAAAGCGUGCGUAGACGGUUAUGUAAGUCGGGUGUGAAAGCCCCGGGCUCAACCUGGGAAUUGCAUUCGAGACUGUGUAGCUAGGGUGCGGAAGAGGGAAGCGGAAUUUCCGGUGUAGCGGUGAAAUGCGUAGAUAUCGGAAGGAACACCAGUGGCGAAAGCGGCUUCCUGGUCCAGAACCGACGUUCAGGCACGAAAGCGUGGGGAGCAAACAGG
rnacentral:rRNA from 1 species